rnacentral:rRNA from 1 species
CCCUUAGAUGUUCUGGGCCGCACGCGCGCUACACUGAUGCAUUCAACGAGUCUAAAACCUGCUCUGAUAGGGGUGGGUAAUCUUUUGAAUGUGCAUCGUGAUUGGGAUAGAUGAUUGCAAUUUUUCAUCUUCAACGAGGAAUGCCUAGUAAACGCAAGUCAUCAGCUUGCAUUGAUUACGUCCCUGCCCUUUGUACACACCGCCCGUCGCUCCUACCGAUUGAAUGAUCCGAUGAAUAUCAUGGAUUGAGGAUGCAAGUAGGUUCGCCGAUCUUCAUCUUCGAGAAGUGAAGUAAAGCUUAUCAUUUAGAGGAAGGAGAAGUCGUAACA